rnacentral:rRNA from 1 species
GAUUGAACGCUGGCGGCAUGCUUUACACAUGCAAGUCGAACGGCAGCACGGGAGCUUGCUCCCGGUGGCGAGUGGCGAACGGGUGAGUAAUAUAUCGGAACGUGUCCUGUAAGUGGGGGAUAACGCAGCGAAAGCUGUGCUAAUACCGCAUACGAUCUAUGGAUAGAAAGCGAGGGGACCGCAAGGCCUUGCGUUAUAGGAGCGGCCGAUAUCUGAUUAGCUAGUUGGUAGGGUAAAAGCCUACCAAGGCGACGAUCAGUAGCUGGUCUGAGAGGAUGAUCAGCCACACUGGGACUGAGACACGGCCCAGACUCCUACGGGAGGCAG